UGGCGAUGAUGCUAGAACUAAGGCUUGUUUCUCAAAAUAUUCGCAGAUGCCGCCUAAGAGCUUUCGCCCUGCCAGGCUUGAGAGCUAAUGCUGCUACUUCCUUCCUUGGAUGUCUGAGCCA
rfam:Triticum aestivum genome assembly, contig: Triticum_aestivum_CS42_TGACv1_scaffold_030617_1BL